GCGGGGUGGUAACCGAAGAAAACGCCAGCAGAGCAACAGGAGCCAGCAGGCUCGAGAGGAAACUCCCCGAAGUUCGGUUUCGAGAGGGGGGGAAGAGAGCC
rnacentral:rRNA from 1 species